CCCUAGUAUAUUAUUUUCCUUAAAAAUUAGUAUAAUUAAAAAAAAUUAAAAAUUUUGGUAGCAAAUUAUAAAUUAGAGGAGCUUGUUUAAAUAGAAUUUGCUCUUUAAAUUUUAAUAUUUAAUUUGCUUAUUCAUCUCUGUUAUAAUUACAAAUUAAAUAAAAUUAUUUUAAUAUUUCAGGUCAAGAUGUAGCUUUUAAUAUAAAAAAUUAGCUACAAUUUAAGAUAUAAUAGUUUAUAUUUUGAAAAAUUUAUUCUAAACUGAAUUUAACAGUAAUAUUUUAUUAUCUCUAGAAUGAUUAUAUGGAUCCUUUUAAUUAGUAUA
rnacentral:rRNA from 1 species